rnacentral:misc_RNA from 1 species
GAUGAAGAACGCAGCGAAAUGCGAUAACUAAUGUGAAUUGCAGAAUUCAGUGAAUCAUCGAGUCUUUGAACGCACAUUGCGCCCCCUGGUAUUCCGGGGGGCAUGCCUGUCCGAGCGUCAUUGCUGCCCUCAAGCACGGCUUGUGUGUUGGGCUCCGUCCCCCCGGGGACGGGCCCGAAAGGCAGCGGCGGCACCGAGUCCGGUCCUCGAGCGUAUGGGGCUUUGUCACCCGCUCUUGUAGGCCCGGCCGGCGCUUGCCGACACAUCAAUCUUUUUUCCAGGUUGACCUCGGAUCAGGUAGGGAUACCCGCUGAACUUAAGCAUAUCAAUAAGCGGAGGA